GCUUCUGGGUCGGGGUUUCGUACGUA
rnacentral:piRNA from 5 species